AACGAACGCUGGCGGCAUGCCUAACACAUGCAAGUCGAACGAGACCUUCGGGCUUAGUGGUGCACGGGUGCGUAACGCGUGGGAACAUGCCCAUAGGUUCGGAAUAACUCCCUGAAAGAGGUCCUAAUACAGGCUAAUGUACUCGGACCAAAGAGUUAUCGCCUUUGGGUGGGCCUGCGUUGGAUUAGCUAGUUGGUAGGGUAUAAGCCUAUCAAGGCGACGAUGCAUAGCUGGUCUGAGAAGAUGAUCAGCCGGACUGGACGUGAGGCACGGCCCAGGAUCCUACGGAAGGGAGCGGUAGGGUGUAUUAGACAAUGAGCGCGAGUGUAGCACAGCAAUGGCGCGUAAGGCAUGAUGGGCUUAGGGUUGUGAAGCUCUUUUACCCGGGGUGUGAAUGACAGUACCGGGAAAAUAAGCACCGGCUAACUCCGUG
rnacentral:rRNA from 1 species